UGCUUUCCUGCUUACUCAUUGCCUUUGACACUCUGCUAACAGAAGUCAUCCAAUCUCAGCCUUCUACCAGGGUUUACACUCCUUUUAUGUUUCUGACAAGUUUAACCUCUGCUUGGAUACUUCCAGUGAUGAAGAGCUCACCAUUUCACAAGGGACUUUGGCAACUUCUAAGACUGUAAUUUUCAGCAGCAGCUCUCAUCUGCUUUGAGACCAAGCAUGAUAAAACAAAAACUGGCACAGGGAAUUGGAUUCCAAGAAGAGUGAAAAAGUGUAUAAGCAUUGAACUGCCCUAAUGAAUUCAGGUCACCAGGCCCAGAAUGAUGACAUUCCAAGAUAUUUGCACAAAUGAUUACUGACCACUAUCAUCUUUGAAAAAAUCAUGGGAAAAAAAGGGACCUCGAAUUUUGGGGAAGGACCCUAAGUCUCUGUCUUCUUCACCUAUUCUCCUAGUGAUGCUCACUGUAUAGCUGGUAGACCGCAAAAUAACAAGUAUUUCAAAACAGCAUUCUAACAACCCCACCCUGCUUCACAUUUUUGGCAUUACUAAGUGGCAAAGUGAAUAGAGUGCC